rnacentral:rRNA from 1 species
UACGAACUGUGCGAACGUUAUUCGGAAUCACUGGGCUUACAGGGUGCGUAGGCGGCCGAACAAGUCAGGUGUGAAAGCCCUCGGCUCAACCGAGGAACUGCGCUUGAAACUGUUUGGCUCGAAUCAACUAGAGGUGCACGGAACUUCCAGUGGAGCGGUGAAAUGUGUUGAUAUUGGAAGGAACACCGGAGGCGAAAGCGGUGCACUGGGGUUGGUCUGACGCUGAGGCACGAAAGCCAGGGGAGCGAACGGG